AUUGAUCACAUUGCUGGAGACGAGGAU
rnacentral:piRNA from 1 species